rnacentral:rRNA from 1 species
GACGAACGCUGGCGGCAUGCCUAAUACAUGCAAGUCGAGCGAACAGAUGAAGUGCUUGCACUUCUGACGUUAGCGGCGAACGGGUGAGUAACACGUAAGGAAUCUACCUAUAAGCGGGGGAUAACAUUCGGAAACGGGUGCUAAUACCGCAUAAUAUCUUCUUCCGCAUGGAAGAAGAUUGAAAGACGGCUCUGCUGUCACUUAUAGAUGACCUUGCGGUGCAUAAGUUAGUUGGUGGGGUAAUGGCCUACCAAGACGAUGAUGCAUAGCCGACCUGAGAGGGUGAUGGGCCACAUUGGGAAUGAGACACGGCCCAAACUCCUACGGGAGGCAGCAGGAGGGAAUCUUCCGCAAUGGGCGAAAGCCUGACGGAGCAAUGCCGCGUGAGUGAAGAAGGCCUUCGGGUCGUAAAACUCUGUUAUAAGAGAAGAACAAAUUGUAGAGUAACUGCUACAGUCUUGACGGUAUCUUAUCAGAAAGCCACGGCUAACUACGUGCCAGCCGCCGCAGUAA